AUUGAACGCUGGCGGCAGGCCUAACACAUGCAAGUCGAACGAGCGGCGGACGGGUGAGUAAUGUAUGGGAAACUGCCCGAUGGAGGGGGAUAACUACUGGAAACGGUAGCUAAUACCGCAUACUAUCGGAUGUGCCCAUAUGGGAUUAGCUAGUAGGUGGGGUAACGGCUCACCUAGGCGACGAUCCCUAGCUGGUCUGAGAGGAUGACCAGCCACACUGGGACUGAGACACGGUCCAGACUCCUACGGGAGGCAGCAGUGGGGAAUAUUGCACAAUGGGCGCAAGCCUGAUGCAGCCAUGCCGCGUGUAUGAAGAAGGCCUUCGGGUUGUAAAGUACUUUCAGCGAGGAGGCGUUACUCGCAGAAGAAGCACCGGCUAACUCCGUGCCAGCAGCCGCGGUAAUAC
rnacentral:rRNA from 1 species